UAGGGAAUCUACCGCAAUGGACGAAAGUCUGACGGAGCAACGCCGCGUGAGUGAAGAAGGAUUUCGGUUCGUAAAACUCUGUUGUUAGGGAAGAAAAAAUGUAUAGUAACUAUAUACAAAAGAGACGGUACCUAACCAGAAAGCCACGGCUAACUACGUGCCAGCAGCCGCGGUAAUACGUAGGUGGCAAGCGUUGUCCGGAAUUAUUGGGCGUAAAGCGCGCGCAGGUGGUUUAGAAAGUCUGAUGUGAAAGCCCACGGCUCAACCGUGGAGGGUCAUUGGAAACUAAUAAACUUGAGUGCAGGAGAGAAAAGUGGAAUUCCUAGUGUAGCGGUGAAAUGCGUAGAGAUUAGGAGGAACACCGGUGGCGAAAGCGGCUUUUUGGCCUGCAACUGACACUGAGGCGCGAAAGCGUGGGGAGCAAACAGG
rnacentral:rRNA from 1 species